rnacentral:rRNA from 1 species
GACGAACGCUGGCGGCGUGCUUAACACAUGCAAGUCGAACGGAAAGGCCCUGCUUUUGUGGGGUGCUCGAGUGGCGAACGGGUGAGUAACACGUGAGUAACCUGCCCUUGACUUUGGGAUAACUUCAGGAAACUGGGGCUAAUACCGGAUAGGAGCUCCUGCUGCAUGGUGGGGGUUGGAAAGUUUCGGCGGUUGGGGAUGGACUCGCGGCUUAUCAGCUUGUUGGUGGGGUAGUGGCUUACCAAGGCUUUGACGGGUAGCCGGCCUGAGAGGGUGACCGGCCACAUUGGGACUGAGAGACGGCGCAGACUCCUACGGGAGGCAGCAGUGGGGAAUAUUGCACAAUGGGCGGAAGCCUGAUGCAGCAACGCCGCGUGCGGGAUGACGGCCUUCGGGGUGUAAACCGCUUUCGCCUGUGACGAAGCGUGAGUGACGGUAAUGGGUAAAGAAGCACCGGCUAACUACGUG